rnacentral:rRNA from 2 species
GGGUUGUGAGGUUAAGUGACUAAGCGUACACGGUGGAUGCCUAGGCAGUCAGAGGCGAUGAAGGGCGUGCUAAUCUGCGAAAAGCGUCGGUAAGGUGAUAUGAACCGUUACAACCGGCGAUACCCGAAUGGGGAAACCCAGUGUGUUUCGACACACUAUCAUGUCAUGAAUACAUAGUGGCAUGAGGCGAACCGGGGGAACUGAAACAUCUAAGUACCCCGAGGAAAAGAAAUCAACCGAGAUUCCCCCAGUAGCGGCGAGCGAACGGGGAGGAGCCCAGAACCUGAAUCGGCUUGUGUGUUAGUGGAAGCGUCUGGAAAGUCGCGCAGCAAAGGGUGAUAGCCCCGUACACUAAAAUGCACAGGUCGUGAGUUCGAUGAGUAGGGCGGGACACGUGACAUCCUGUCUGAAUAUGGGGGGACCAUCCUCCAAGGCUAAAUACUCCUGACUGACCGAUAGUGAACCAGUACCGUGAGGGAAAGGCGAAAAGAACCCCGGCGAGGGGAGUGAAAUAGAACCUGAAACCGUGUACGUACAAGCAGUGGGAGCACCUUCGUGGUGUGACUGCGUACCUUUUGUAUAAUGGGUCAGCGACUUAUAUUUUGUAGCAAGGUUAACCGUAUAGGGGAGCCGUAGGGAAACCGAGUCUUAACUGGGCGAAUAGUUGCAAGGUAUAGACCCGAAACCCGGUGAUCUAGCCAUGGGCAGGUUGAAGGUUGGGUAACACUAACUGGAGGACCGAACCGACUAAUGUUGAAAAAUUAGCGGAUGACUUGUGGCUGGGGGUGAAAGGCCAAUCAAACCGGGAGAUAGCUGGUUCUCCCCGAAAGCUAUUUAGGUAGCGCCUCGUGAACUCAUCUUCGGGGGUAGAGCACUGUUUCGGCUAGGGGGCCAUCCCGGCUUACCAAACCGAUGCAAACUCCGAAUACCGAAGAAUGUUAUCACGGGAGACACACGGCGGGUGCUAACGUCCGUCGUGAAGAGGGAAACAACCCAGACCGCCAGCUAAGGUCCCAAAGUCAUGGUUAAGUGGGAAACGAUGUGGGAAGGCAUAGACAGCCAGGAUGUUGGCUUAGAAGCAGCCAUCAUUUAAAGAAAGCGUAAUAGCUCACUGGUCGAGUCGGCCUGCGCGGAAGAUGUAACGGGGCUAAACCAUGCACCGAAGCUGCGGCAGCGACGCUUAGGCGUUGUUGGGUAGGGGAGCGUUCUGUAAGCCGUUGAAGGUGGCCUGUGAGGGUUGCUGGAGGUAUCAGAAGUGCGAAUGCUGACAUAAGUAACGAUAAAGCGGGUGAAAAGCCCGCUCGCCGGAAGACCAAGGGUUCCUGUCCAACGUUAAUCGGGGCAGGGUGAGUCGACCCCUAAGGCGAGGCUGAAAAGCGUAGUCGAUGGGAAACAGGUUAAUAUUCCUGUACUUGGUGUUACUGCGAAGGGGGGACGGAGAAGGCUAGGCUAGCCGGGCGACGGUUGUCCCGGUUUAAGCGUGUAGGGGGUGUGACCUGGUAAAUCCGGUUGCAUAUCAACCCUGAGGCGUGAUGACGAUGCACUACGGUGCAGAAGUAGUUGAUGCCCUGCUUCCAGGAAAAGCCUCUAAGCUCCAGGUAACAUUGAAUCGUACCCCAAACCGACACAGGUGGUCAGGUAGAGAAUACCAAGGCGCUUGAGAGAACUCGGGUGAAGGAACUAGGCAAAAUGGUGCCGUAACUUCGGGAGAAGGCACGCUGGCAUGUAGGUGAAGUCCUUCGCGGAUGGAGCUGAAGCCAGUCGAAGAUACCAGCUGGCUGCAACUGUUUAAUAAAAACACAGCACUGUGCAAACACGAAAGUGGACGUAUACGGUGUGACGCCUGCCCGGUGCUGGAAGGUUAAUUGAUGGGGUCAGCCGCAAGGCGAAGCUCUUGAUCGAAGCCCCAGUAAACGGCGGCCGUAACUAUAACGGUCCUAAGGUAGCGAAAUUCCUUGUCGGGUAAGUUCCGACCUGCACGAAUGGCGUAAUGAUGGCCAGGCUGUCUCCACCCGAGACUCAGUGAAAUUGAACUCGCUGUGAAGAUGCAGUGUACCCGCGGCAAGACGGAAAGACCCCGUGAACCUUUACUAUAGCUUGACACUGAACAUUGAGCCUUGAUGUGUAGGAUAGGUGGGAGGCUUUGAAGCGUGGACGCCAGUCUGCGUGGAGCCAUCCUUGAAAUACCACCCUUUAAUGUUUGAUGUUCUAACUCGGCCCCAUAAUCUGGGGUGAGGACAGUGUCUGGUGGGUAGUUUGACUGGGGCGGUCUCCUCCCAAAGAGUAACGGAGGAGCACGAAGGUUAGCUAAUCACGGUCGGACAUCGUGAGGUUAGUGCAAAGGCAUAAGCUAGCUUGACUGCGAGAGUGACGGCUCGAGCAGGUACGAAAGUAGGUCUUAGUGAUCCGGUGGUUCUGAAUGGAAGGGCCAUCGCUCAACGGAUAAAAGGUACUCCGGGGAUAACAGGCUGAUACCGCCCAAGAGUUCAUAUCGACGGCGGUGUUUGGCACCUCGAUGUCGGCUCAUCACAUCCUGGGGCUGAAGUAGGUCCCAAGGGUAUGGCUGUUCGCCAUUUAAAGUGGUACGCGAGCUGGGUUUAGAACGUCGUGAGACAGUUCGGUCCCUAUCUGCCGUGGGCGUUGGAAGAUUGAGAGGGGUUGCUCCUAGUACGAGAGGACCGGAGUGAACGCACCACUGGUGUUCGGGUUGUCAUGCCAAUGGCAUUGCCCGGUAGCUAAGUGCGGAAAAGAUAAGCGCUGAAAGCAUCUAAGCGCGAAACUUGCCUCAAGAUGAGUCUUCCCUGGGCCUUUAAGGCCCCUGAAGGAACGUUUAAGACUAAGACGUUGAUAGGCUGGGUGUGUAAGUGCAGCGAUGCAUUGAGCUAACCAGUACUAAUGAUCCGUGAGGCUUAACCUUACAACACCGAAGGUGUUU